rnacentral:tRNA from 1 species
GGGGGAGUAGUUCAAUGGUAGAAUAUGGGUCUCCAAAACCCGGGACGAGGGUUCGAUUCCUUCCUCCCCUGCCA